rnacentral:rRNA from 1 species
UCNGUAGAGAUCAAGAAGAAUACCCAUUGCGAAAGCGNUCUGCUGGAACUUAACUGACGCUAAUGCGUGAAAGCGUGGGGAGCAAACAGGAUUAGAUACCCUGGUAGUCCACGCCCUAAACGAUGUAUACUAGUUGUUGCUUCGCUAGUCGAGGCAGUAAUGCACCUAACGGAUUAAGUAUACCGCCUGGGGAGUACGGUCGCAAGAUUAAAACUCAAAGGAAUAGACGGGGACCCGCACAAGCGGUGGAGCAUGUGGUUUAAUUCGAAGAUACGCGAAGAACCUUACCCGGACUUGAUAUCUAACAAAUCAUCCAGGGAUGGAAGAGUGUCUGCUUGCAGAAAUGUUAAGACAGGUGCUGCACGGCUGUCGUCAGCUCGUGUCGUGAGAUGUUGGGUUAAGUCCCGCAACGAGCGCAACCCACGUCAUUAGUUGCUAACGGUUCGGCCGAGCACUCUAAUGAGACUGCCUUCGCAAGGAGGAGGAAGGUGUGGACGACGUCAAGUCAUCAUGGCCCUUAUGUCCGGGGCGACACACGUGCUACAAUGGCGUAUACAAUGAGACGCAAUAUCGCGAGAUGGAGCAAAUCUAUAAAAUACGUCCCAGUUCGGAUUGGAGUCUGCAACUCGACUCCAUGAAGCCGGAAUCGCUAGUAAUCGUAGAUCAGCCAUGCUACGGUGAAUACGUUCCCGGGUCUUGUACUCACCGCCCGUCACACCAUGGGAGUUGAUUUCACUC